rnacentral:rRNA from 1 species
UACGAAGGGGGGCUAGCGUUGCUCGGAAUCACUGGGCGUAAAGCGCACGUAGGCGGCUUUUUAAGUCAGGGGUGAAAUCCUGGAGCUCAACUCCAGAACCGCCUUUGAUACUGAGAAGCUUGAGUCCGGGAGAGGUGAGUGGAACUGCGAGUGUAGAGGUGAAAUUCGUAGAUAUUCGCAAGAACACCAGUGGCGAAGGCGGCUCACUGGCCCGGUACUGACGCUGAGGUGCGAAAGCGUGGGGAGCAAACAGG